rnacentral:piRNA from 1 species
UAGGAUAGCCUGCACAUCCCAUUGAUGAAUC